UACAGAGGGGGCAAGCGUUAUUCGGAAUUAUUGGGCGUAAAGGGCGCGUAGGCGGCUUGGCAAGUGGAAGGUGAAAUCCCUCGGCUUAACCGAGGAACUGCCCUCCAAACUGCUUGGCUUGAGACCGGGAGAGGUGAGUGGAAUUCCCAGUGUAGCGGUGAAAUGCGUAGAUAUUGGGAGGAACACCAGUGGCGAAGGCGGCUCACUGGACCGGUACUGACGCUGAUGCGCGAAAGCUAGGGGAGCAAACGGG
rnacentral:rRNA from 1 species